rnacentral:rRNA from 1 species
GACGAACGCUGGCGGCGUGCCUAAUACAUGCAAGUAGAACGCUGAAGAGAGGAGCUUGCUCUUCUUGGAUGAGUUGCGAACGGGUGAGUAACGCGUAGGUAACCUGCCUUGUAGCGGGGGAUAACUAUUGGAAACGAUAGCUAAUACCGCAUAACAAUGGAUGACACAUGUCAUUUAUUUGAAAGGGGCAAUUGCUCCACUACAAGAUGGACCUGCGUUGUAUUAGCUAGUAGGUGAGGUAAUGGCUCACCUAGGCGACGAUACAUAGCCGACCUGAGAGGGUGAGCGGCCACACUGGGACUGAGACACGGCCCAGACUCCUACGGGAGGCAGCAGUAGGGAAUCGUCGGCAAUGGGGGCAACCCUGACCGAGCAACGCCGCGUGAGUGAAGAAGGUUUUCGGAUCGUAAAGCUCGGUUGUAAGUCAAGAACGGGUGUGAGAGUGGAAAGUUCACACUGUGACGGUAGCUUACCAGAAAGGGACGGCUAACUACGUG